rnacentral:miRNA from 1 species
UGUUCUCUUUGCCAAGGACAG